UACGGAGGGUGCAAGCGUUGUCCGGAUUUAUUGGGUUUAAAGGGUGCGUAGGCGGCCCGGUAAGUCAGUGGUGAAAGCCUCCAGCUCAACUGGAGAACUGCCAUUGAUACUGCCGGGCUUGAGUACAGACGAGGUUGGCGGAAUUGAUUGUGUAGCGGUGAAAUGCAUAGAUAUGACAUAGAACACCAAUUGCGAAGGCAGCUGGCUACACGAAUAUUGACACUGAUGCACGAAAGCGUGGGGAUCAAACAGG
rnacentral:rRNA from 1 species